rnacentral:rRNA from 1 species
AGAGCGAACGCUGGCGGCAGGCCUAACACAUGCAAGUCGAGCGCUCCGCAAGGGGAGCGGCAGACGGGAGAGUAACACGUGGGAACGUACCCUUCAGUUCGGAACAACCCAGGGAAACUUGGGCUAAUACCGAAUACGUCCGUAAGGAGAAAGAUUUAUCGCUGAAGGAUCGGCCCGCGUCUGAUUAGCUUGUUGGUGAGGUAACGGCUCACCAAGGCGACGAUCAGUAGCUGGUCUGAGAGGAUGAUCAGCCUCACUGGGACUGAGACACGGCCCAGACUCCUACGGGAGGCAGCAGUGGGAAUAUUGGACAAUGGGCGCAAGCCUGAUCCAGCCAUGCCGCGUGGGUGAUGAAGGCCCUAGGGUUGUAAAGCCCUUUCGGCGGGGAAGAUAAUGACGGUACCCGCAGAAGAAGCCCCGGCUAACUUCGUGCCAGCAGCCGC